UGGGAGGCGCGGUCUGCAGACGAUGUAGCUGCAUAAGUAGGGAGGACAACAGCAGCAGGUCAACAUGAUCGAUCAGAGGAUAAACAGACCCAGGUUCAGUAGACUGUUACUUAGAGAGACACAGUUUGAUACCGAGACGUCGCGAUAGUCACUGACAGUGAGUCCGCUCCGUUCAGACGCUCCUCUCCGCGGACAUAAACAAACCCGCGACAAAAACAAACCGGGACACAGACCCUGAGCACAGGCAGCAGACAUGCCUGUGAAUAAGUCCCGGGUGGCUGUGGGGUUCGCGGUGGCCGGUGUCCUGGCCGUGGUGUUUGGGAUAGUCCUCACUUUUGUGGGGCCGCUGAUAAUCGACGACCAGAUCGUGAAGAACACAGUGAUCGACCCAAAGAAUGAUCUAACCUACACCAUGUGGAAGGACAUCCCUGUGCCGUUCUUCAUGUCGGUCUACUUCUUCAACAUCCUCAACCCCAAGGAGUUUCUGAAAGGAGAAAAGCCCAUGGUGGAGCAGCGAGGACCUUAUGUGUACAGGAAACGCUGUCAGAAAGACAACAUCACAUUUCAUCCAAACGACACAGUGUCAUACAUGGAAUAUAGACAAUACUUCUUCGAGCCUUCCAUGUCUGUAGGGAACGAGUCCGACAUCGUAACGAUACCAAAUAUGUUGGUGCUGGGUGCAGCGGUGAUGAUGGAAAAUCUCCCGUACGCAGUUCGUUUAAUGAUCAGCGCCACCUUCAAGACUUUCAAGGAAGGACCCUUUAUAACCAAGACCGUCGGGGAGCUGAUGUGGGGUUAUGACAGUGGACUCGUCGAUUUCCUUAAUAAGUAUCUACCCGGCCAGCUGCCCUCAACUGGAAAGUUUGGCCUUUUUGCCGAAUUCAACAACUCCAACACGGGUCUGUUCACCAUCUUCACCGGACAGGACGACAUCAAGAAUGCUCAUAAAGUUGAUUCCUGGAAUGGCCUGACUAAGCUGGACUACUGGCGGACCCCUCAGGCUAACAUGAUCAAUGGAACAGCUGGGCAGAUGUGGCCUCCGUUCAUGACAAAAGAAAGCACUCUGCCAUUCUACAGCCCUGACGCCUGCAGGUCUAUGGAGCUUGUUUACCAGCGUCCUGGUGUGAUGAAGGGAAUCCCUCUUUAUCGGUAUGUGGCACCCAAGACCCUGUUUGCCAACGGGACAGACUACUCCCCCAACGAAGGUUUCUGCCCCUGUAGACAGUCCGGCUUGCUGAACGUCAGCAGCUGUCGACACAAAUCUCCAAUGUUCAUCUCUCAUCCUCACUUCUUUAAUGCUGAUCCUGUCCUCCUGGACUAUGUGGAUGGCCUCCAUCCCAAUGAGGACAAGCAUGGUCUCUUCAUCGACAUUCACCCACAAACCGGUGUCCCUCUCAAUGUUUCCAUCCGUCUGCAGCUCAACCUGUACAUGAAGAGAGUGUCCGGAAUUACAGAAACUGGCAAGAUUUCUGAGGUGGUGAUGCCCAUGAUCUGGUUUGAGGAGAGUGGAUAUAUAGACGGGCCUAUCCUCAAAACGUUCCACACAAACCUGGUCAUUCUUCCUGCUGUGAUGGAGUACAUGCAGUACGGCUUCAUAGCUCUCGGCCUGGCAACGAUAAUAAUCGCUGCUCUGGUGCAUCAUAAAGUGCGGAGGUCUGAUAGAAAUGCUGCAAUGAUCUCCACAGUGAUGAAGAACCCCGGGGCCUCUGACAAAAAGCCAGUAAAAGGCUCACAUGGCCAUGAAACACAGGAAAAAUAUAACAUAAAUAACUAAGGCAACAGAUCUCCUGGUACUCUCCUUGUAAGGGAUAAUGAAACCAGUGAACAAGUAUAGAAAUAAACGUGAAGGUGGCCCCACACCAGAUGCAACCACAAGCACUUCAGGCGAAGAGAGAGACCUUCUACUACAAGAUGAAAUGGACUGACAUACAGGCACACAAACACAAACACACACAAAUUAUGUUUUUGACUUGCUGAAGGCCAACAUCAUUCCAGAUGUUGAAUUGAAACACUGCCACAACUAUCUCUUCUCCGUAUACUCUAAUGAGAUGUGCACAAGUGAACUUGCGCCGUCUUUUUCCUGCACUGCAAAGUUGAUGAAACUCUCAGCUGAAGACUCCUGUUGUCUUUAUUCCAUGCAUUUGUGUUGAGGCUGUAGGGGUUGAGACUGUUGUCUGUUCAGGCAGAGCGAGUGAAGACACUGCUGUGUCUGAACAAAACACUUUUUUCUGCAAAGAACUAACCAAACAAACUCUUUAUUUCCAGUGAAAUGUGACAGAUGUGAACAUGCUCAGGCUCAGCUUGGGGUCUGACUAUUAUCAGUGUUGAUCUGAAAAUGUCCUCAUCAUCCCUUCAUCAGGAGCAAUAGUAGACAGUUACUGUGGUGGCUGUUAUUUUACCUCUUUAAUGAGAAAAUGGGAAACUAAUGACCUGCAAGUGUGUAUCACACACUCUUACAAUCAGUGAGUCAAGCAGCGCACUUUUUGUAUCGUACUGCCUUCUGUAAAGAUGUGAAUGUUUCUUCUUAAAACUGAUGUGAAUGACUCCAUCAUAAAUAAUUCAGGUAAUAAAUGUGCCUUUGAUUGAAAAUCAAA